GACGAACGCUGGCGGCGUGCUUAACACAUGCAAGUCGAACGGAAAGGCCCCUUUGGGGGUCCUCGAGUGGCGAACGGGUGAGUAACACGUGAGUAACCUGCCCUUGACUUCGGGAUAACUUCAGGAAACUGGGGCUAAUACCGGAUAGGAAUCCUUGCUGCAUGGUGGGGGUUGGAAAGCUUCGGCGGUUUUGGAUGGACUCGCGGCUUAUCAGCUUGUUGGUGGGGUAGUGGCUUACCAAGGCUUUGACGGGUAGCCGGCCUGAGAGGGCGACCGGCCACAGUGGGACUGAGAUACGGCCCAGACUCCUACGGGAGGCAGCAGUGGGGAAUAUUGCACAAUGGGCGGAAGCCUGAUGCAGCAACGCCGCGUGCGGGAAGACGGCCUUCGGGUUGUAAACCGCUUUCAGCAGGGGCGAAGCUUGUGGUGACGGUACCUGCAGAAGAAGCACCGGCUAACUACGUG
rnacentral:rRNA from 1 species